rnacentral:tRNA from 1 species
CAGGGUGUAGCUCAGUCUGCGCAGAGCGCCGGUCUUGGGCACCGGAGGUCGCAGGUUCGAAUCCUGCCGCCCUGACCA